GGGCCAUAGCUCAGCAGUAGAGCACAUGCCUUGCGUGCAGAAGGUCCUAGGUUCAAUCCUUGGCAUCUCCA